rnacentral:lncRNA from 1 species
GGUUUACGUCAUGUCCAGACCAGCGCGCGCUUCCACCGCAGUGCCCGCGCUUAAAGGGGCGGUCCCUUAGGGCGGAACUUGUGCGUACGCUGGAAAACCGCUGGGGUGCGCGAUUCCGCACGGGGGCGCACAUGCGCAGUCUGGGGCCACGGACCAUCCUAAAUCACUCGCAUGGAGUGUUUUGGAAGAACUCUCAAGAGCUUCGUUUGCCUAGAGUCAGAAUUCCUAACCUUGAGUCCUGGUUUUGCCACAAACCCAAGCCGUUUGAUCUUGGGCAACUCCCGAAGAAAGCUGGGUUCAACUUCCUCACUGUCAAACUGGUUGUAGGUCUAGAUAAGUUUCAAGUACUCUUUUUAUGUGCAUGGUCUCUGACAUAGGAAGACUACAUACUGGGCCAGUAACAGGAAGGCACAAAGCUGACUGGAGGUUUAAAAAUUACUUGGUCAAUUUGAUUAAUGAGGAGAAUGAAUCAGAAAAUUUCAAGUUCUCCCGUGGCUAACUGUCGAGUAUCCACUUCAAGCUUUUUUCUCAGGUCAGUCCACUGGACAUUUUCCAUGCCAAAUAGAAAUCCACAUUCAGCUGGAAUCAUUCCAUCGGAAAGAGGUCGAAAAUGUACAGUAGGCAUGCACAAAGGAUACCGCCUGGAAAGAAGGUAAAACUGGAAAACAGGAGGGAGGCGGGGCCCAAUUUUGGCUUCUCCUUCCG